rnacentral:rRNA from 1 species
UACGAAGGGGGCUAGCGUUGUUCGGAAUUACUGGGCGUAAAGCGCGCGUAGGCGGAUAUUUAAGUCAGGGGUGAAAUCCCGGGGCUCAACCCUGGAACUGCCUUUGAUACUGGAUAUCUGGAGUUCGGGAGAGGUGAGUGGAAUUCCGAGCGUAGAGGUGAAAUUCGUAGAUAUUCGGAGGAACACCAGAAGCGAAGGCGGCUCACUGGCCCGAUACUGACGCUGAGGCGCGAAAGCGUGGGGAGCAAACAGG